GGUCGGGACACUCCCUACGAAGAAGGGAUACAUGAGGACCUGUGCGACGACCUUGACGGGAUCAAUGAGCCUCCCAGCUUCCACUGCUUUCCGUGCCACAUAAUCGGAUAUGUUUGCACCACAGCUCACACCAAGUAGGACGCAUCUGGAAGGAUCAGCAUGCGCAGCCAGCCACGGCUCCACCGUCGACGUCCCGAAAUUAUCCACAAUAUGCCGG
rnacentral:misc_RNA from 1 species